rnacentral:rRNA from 1 species
GAGCACGUAGGUGGGUUUGUAAGUCAGAUGUGAAAGCCUUCUGUUCAACGGAAGAAUUGCAUCUGAAACUGCGAGUCUUGAGUGUAGGAGAGGAGAAUGGAACUUCUGGUGGAGCGGUGAAAUGCGUAGAUAUCAGAAGGAACUCCGGCGGCGAAAGCGAUUCUCUGGCCUAUUACUGACACUCAGUGUGCGAAAGCUAGGGGAGCAAACGGGAUUAGAUACCCCGGUAGUCCUAGCCGUAAACGAUGGGCACUAAGUAGAGGGGUUUU